rnacentral:rRNA from 1 species
UACGAAGGGUGCAAGCGUUACUCGGAAUUAUUGGGCGUAAAGCGUGCGUAGGCGGCUUAGCAAGUUGGAAGUGAAAGCCUAGGGCUUAACCUUAGAAUUGCUUUCAAAACUGCUCUGCUAGAGUACUAGAGAGGAUAGCGGAAUUCCUAGUGUAGAGGUGAAAUUCGUAGAUAUUAGGAGGAACACCGGUGGCGAAGGCGGGAUCCUGGGCCAGUACUGACGCUGAGGAGCGAAAGCGUGGGGAGCAAACAGG